rnacentral:rRNA from 1 species
UACGAAGGGGGCUAGCGUUGUUCGGAUUUACUGGGCGUAAAGCGCACGUAGGCGGAUCGUUAAGUGAGGGGUGAAAUCCCAGGGCUCAACCCUGGAACUGCCUUUCAUACUGGCGAUCUUGAGUCCGGAAGAGGUGAGUGGAACUCCUAGUGUAGAGGUGGAAUUCGUAGAUAUUAGGAAGAACACCAGUGGCGAAGGCGGCUCGCUGGUCCGGUACUGACGCUGAGGUGCGAAAGCGUGGGGAGCAAACAGG